ACAAAAAUGCUCUGCUUUUAUCAUAUGUACUACUAUCCCAUCGGCCACAGCAAGUCACACAAUCAAGACCACAGUCAAGAGACUGGAGAGUAUGUUAUAAUCACCGUGAGGCCAGAGCAAGGAUGGGGACCCAAAAUUCUAUUUGAGGAGAGUUAAGAUUUGAGAUCAAUAAUUCAGUCUACCACAGAUUACAAUGAAGUUUUUAAAAUUAUGAAGUAUGUCUACACAUCCUAUCACAGAAAGAUCUCAAAGGUGUGAGCUCACAACUGGAAAUUCCAAUUCAGAAGAUUUAGCUUUGGUAUCUGGAUUCUAAAAAUGCUACUUAGGUGUGACUCUCCACCUAUGUCUUCUAACUUGAAAGUGACUAUAAGUAUCACUCUGAAAAUAUCUUGCACCCAGCGCCUUUGGAAGCUUCGCUGAUUUCAGAGAGAGAGCGAGACAGUGCAAGCAGAGGGAUCCCAACUCGGGGCUUGACUCCAGGACCCUGGGAACAUGACCUAAGCUGAAGGCAGAUGCUUAACUGACUGAGCCACCCAGGAUGCUGGAUUAAAUCUACAUGGUUUAACUACAUGUCUAAAAAAGAUCAGCCUGGUGCCUCUGGAAAAAGUGUCAUUGGAGCUUGAAAUGAAAAGUUGAUUUUUUUCUUCAUUUUCCUGUCCUGCCAUUUCCAUAUAAUCAGCUCAAGUGAACACAGCACAGGAAACACAGAUCAAGAACCUUUCCACCUCCAGAUGCUUUUUAAGAUCAGUUCAUAAAAUUCCUUGAACAAGAAAACAUUUCAUCAUGUGGAAAUAAAUAUUUUUCUGCUUUCGCAUAUUUGAUCGGAAAGGGAAGACACAUGCCUCUCCUAAUAUCCCCGCCUGGGAAAUAAAGUAGAAUGGGGAGGAGGAAUGCUGAGUGGUUCUGCAAUCCAGUGAAGAGAGAAAACAAAGACAAUGUGAUAAAGAAAAAGAGGCCUUGUGCUGACUGAAUGCCCUAACCUGAGGGCUUUGCAAUUGCUUAGUCCAUUAUCUACAUCCCCAGGAUCAAAUGUGAGAUAUUUAGAGAUAUUUAUCAAAGAAAGGAGGAAAUAAAGCCACAAAACAAGAUAAAAGGAAAUGAUAGCACAUUCCCUACUAAGUGAAAAAGUUAGCUCUGCACUUAACUGGCUUUCAACUGCAAACUACACAGAAAAUAUUGAUGCAGAUAACAUAACAGGCUUUCAUAAGAAACACGCAGAUUUCAUAGUAUUCAAGAAAUCACAUGAGAUACUUGGCACUUUUGAGGCACUUGUGCGGCUCAGUCAAUUAAGCAUCCAACUCCUGGUUUCAGCUCAGUCAUGAGAUCUAGCCCCAAGUUGGGAUCCAAGCUCAGCUCAGAGUCCGCUUGAGAUUAUCCUUCUCUCCCUUUCUCCUGCCCCACCCUCUCUUCCUCUCUCUCAUUAAAUAAAUA